rnacentral:rRNA from 1 species
CCUACGAGUGGCAGCAGUGGGGAAUAUUGCACAAUGGGCGAAAGCCUGAUGCAGCAACGCCGCGUGAAGGAAGAAGGUUUUCGGCUCGUAAACUUCUAUCAACAGGGACGAAAGAAAUGACGGUACCUGAAUAAGAAGCUCCGGCUAACUACGUGCCAGCAGCCGCUGUAAUACGUAGGGGGCAAGCGUUAACCGGAAUUACUGGGUGUAAAGGGUGAGUAGGCGGCAUGGUAAGCCAGGUGUGCAAGCAUGGGGCUUAACCCGAGGAUUGCAGUUGGAACUAUCAAGCUAGAGUCCAGGAGAGGAAAGCGGAAUUCCCAGUGUAGGGGUGAAAUGCGUAGAUAUUAGGAAGAACACCAGUGGCGAAGGCGGCUUUCUGG